rnacentral:rRNA from 1 species
UACGAAGGGGGGCUAGCGUUGCUCGGAAUUACUGGGCGUAAAGCGCACGUAGGCGGUCUUUUUAAGUCGAGGGUGAAAUCCUGGAGCUCAACUCCAGAACUGCCUUUCGAUACUGGAAGACUUGAGUCCGGGAGAGGUGAGUGGAACUGCGAGUGUAGAGGUGAAAUUCGUAGAUAUUCGCAAGAACACCAGUGGCGAAGGCGGCUCACUGGCCCGAUACUGACGCUGAGGCACGAAAGCGUGGGGGAGCAAACAGGG